UGGUUCUGGCAUCGAUGAAGAACGCAGCGAAAUGCGAUAAGUAAUGCGAAUUGCAGAAUUUCCGUGAGUCAUCGAAUCUUUGAACGCACAUUGCGCCCAUUGGUAUUCCGAUGGGCAUGCCUGUUCGAGCGUCAUUAUCAACCCUCAAGCCCGGCUUGGUGUUGGACCUAGGCCCCGCGAGGGGUCGGUCCCAAAGACAAUGACGGCGUCUGUAGGACCCUCGGAGCAACGAGCUUUUUCCAAAGCACGCCCCGAGUUGCAAGGACCUUCAGCCCGGCCUCAACCUCAUUUUAUAACCAGGUUGACCUCGGAUCAGGUAGGGAUACCCGCUGA
rnacentral:misc_RNA from 1 species